UGCAAUGAUGGUGUAAUUUGCGUCUUAUCCUGUGUUUGGCGACAGUUGCCUGCUGUCAUUAAGUCAACACUAUGGCAUGACGAACAUUGAGUCUGAGCA